GUAUGUUCUCUCUGCAGUCCUCGCCUCCGCCCUCCGGCGCGGCGGGGGAGACUUUGCGCGCCGACGCGGCCGCGCCGUCUCAUCUGUAUGGCGCCCGGUGUCUCCACGCGCUCUCCACUCUCCCGCAGCCCGCAGGAGUGCAGGACCCGGCUGCCGCAACCGCCCCGUCGCAGCGCCAAACAUCGGUCUCUGCCCCCCUCCUGAUUUUCCCAAGCUAGCAGCUUCUACUGAUUCUGCAAGAAUCACAAGAUUCAACAAUGAAAAUGAAGCUCAAGCUGAUGCGCUGAACUUCGGACAGUCUUCAGGUUCACUAAAAAACAAGAAAGUGACUUCAGCUUUCAGCAUACUGCUGUACAUUCUUGAUUCCCAUUAACCGAGAAUAUAGAGGUCGAAGCUAACACAUAAUUUAACACUUCCCAGACCCAGAAAGUACAGCUGACAUUAGAGUUGCUUCGGUAGGCUUUCUGUUAGACUGUUACUGGUUUUGGAUCGCUAGCUUGUUGAGCAAUUUCAGCAUCACCUGUGGCAGACUAAAACGACGCCUUUAGGUAAACACCUACUAUAUAUCUGUACAUGGAUAUGAUAAGAGUGAGGUGAAAGGGCUAAUGGUUAAGGCUCUCGUUUAGCGCCUUUAGGUCCCGGUUCGAUCCCCCUUGGAAGCGAAUCUCGGGUUUGGUUAAAAAAAUCUUUGCUGUGCUCCACCCGCUCUCAAGGUUACGUCCUGCGCACCACCCUCUAGCUGGACCGUUGUAGAGUGAACGAUGACGGCACGCUAGUGAUGGGGAGCCAUAUUUCUGUCUCUUCUUAAUAUAAUAUCAAUAUCGGGAGAACGGUUUUUUCUUCCACGGUCGAGUUUUUUUUUUUUUAUGAUAAGAGCGAGUAUACCUCAUAAUUCUGAUUUCUCCAGGUUGGAAGUUGGCCUCUUCUGAUGAACACUCGGUAUUGUGGCAGUCAUUGGAUUCUCGUCUAUAGAAGGGCACCAUGCAAGCAUGUGCCGCUUAUUUCUUUAAUUUGGUUCCCUGGCUCUUGUGGAGUAAUUCUAGCACUCAGAAGAUGUUUCUCUUGAUGAUAUAUAUAUACACUGUCACCAGCAAAACAGCUGAACUUCUCAUCCUAGAUCAUGUCCAAAGGCAGUCUAGGUUCAGUGCA